CCGAUGCUGACGCGGAGGGACAUUACCGAGUUUACAACUCCCAAACCCCAAUGUGAACGUUACCAAUCUGUUGCCUCGGCGGGAUUCUCUUGCCCCGGGCGCGUCGCAGCCCCGGAUCCCAUGGCGCCCGCCGGAGGACCAACUCCAAACUCUUUUUUUCUCUCCGUCGCGGCUCCCGUCGCGGCUCUGUUUUAUUUUUGCUCUGAGCCUUUCUCGGCGACCCUAGCGGGCGUCUCGAAAAUGAAUCAAAACUUUCAACAACGGAUCUCUUGGUUCUGGCAUCGAUGAAGAACGCAGCGAAAUGCGAUAAGUAAUGUGAAUUGCAGAAUUCAGUGAAUCAUCGAAUCUUUGAACGCACAUUGCGCCCGCCAGUAUUCUGGCGGGCAUGCCUGUCCGAGCGUCAUUUCAACCCUCGAACCCCUCCGGGGGGUCGGCGUUGGGGAUCGGCCCCUCACCGGGCCGCCCCCGAAAUACAGUGGCGGUCUCGCCGCAGCCUCUCCUGCGCAGUAGUUUGCACACUCGCACCGGGAGCGCGGCGCGGCCACAGCCGUAAAACACCCCAAACUUCUGAAAUGUUGACCUCGGAUCAGGUAGGAAUACCCGCUGAACUUAAGCAUAUCAAAAAGCGGAGGAA
rnacentral:rRNA from 1 species